CCAGCAGCUGCGGUAAUUCCAGCUCCAAUAGCGUAUAUUAAAGUUGUUGCAGUUAAAAAGCUCGUAGUUGGAUCUCGGGUACUAGCAUGUGGUACGCAUAACUGCUGUUACUACAUGUCUGGUCCUAAUCAAUCGGUUGGCCGUUGAUGUCCUUCAUUGGGUGUUUUCGGUAGCCGGUACGUUUACUUUGAGAAAAUUAGAGUGCUUAAAGCAGGCUUGAGGCCUGAAUAAUGUUGCAUGGAAUAAUAGAAUAGGACCUCGGUUCUAUUUUGUUGGUUUUGUAGAGCAUUGAGGUAAUGAUUAAUAGGGACAGACGGGGGCAUUCGUAUUGCGGUGUUAGAGGUGAAAUUCUUGGAUCGCCGCAAGACGAACAACUGCGAAAGCAUUUGCCAAGAAUGUUUUCA
rnacentral:rRNA from 1 species